rnacentral:rRNA from 1 species
UACAGAGGUCUCAAGCGUUGUUCGGAUUCAUUGGGCGUAAAGGGUGCGCAGGCGGCGCGGUCAGUCGGGUGUGAAAUCUUGGAGCUUAACUCCGAAACUGCAUUCGAUACUGCCGUGCUUGAGGACUGGAGAGGAGACUGGAAUUUACGGUGUAGCGGUGAAAUGCGUAGAUAUCGUAAGGAAGACCAGUUGCGAAGGCGGAUCUCUGGGCAGUUCCUGACACUGAGGCACGAAGGCCAGGGGAGCAAACGGG